rnacentral:lncRNA from 1 species
CACUUCCGGCGUGCAGAGCUGCCUGCAGUCGACUGUUUGAAGCUUCGCAGUGUUCCCGGGCGAGAUGCAUCCUCAUCUUCAGUUCGGCGCCCAGUUGACCUUGGGGACGACUAUUAGGACCAGAUAUCCAGUUGGACCAGUGAGAUUUGUUGAAGAUGCUUUCUUCUUUUCCCAUUGUAUAAUAAGCUUCUUUGUCAAAAAUCAAGCAUCCAUAGAGCUCUGGAUUCCCAAAGCCUCAGGACCUAACUGAUAUCAGGCACUAUGCUCAUUCUACAAAGAGAUCAUGUUUGCAGAGUACUGACCACCAUCCAGGAAGAGAAGCUUUGUUUCUGAUGAGAACCUACUUCUGACCUACUGAAAGCUACAACUGCAAACAUAUGCACUGAGUGUCAUUAACACUGUUUCUUGAGGGGGAGUACGGUUCUGAGUGAAUCUGAAUGUGGGAAAUGAGGGAGAGAUGAUAUCUGAAAACCUCUGUAAGUUGCCUCAUGCUGCCUAAUAAAGAAUGAAUAAAGUAAGGAA